ensembl:lncRNA
GGAUUACUCACCAGACGAUCCAAUAACCUUUAUUCGAGUUCGACGGUGAUCCUUGAAAUCCUUAUAUCCAUUAAUGAAGGAUUAUUCCUUUGUCCACGGGAAGGUUUUUUACUUUGUGUAGUGGCAAUUCCUUUACUUUUGAAUGAUCAAACGUCUCACAACUUAAAGUCCACAAGCCACUGCUGCACUGAGGUAAUAUUUCGUACGCAGGCAAAAGAAGUCCAUUGUCCAAACCUUUUAGUUGAGAGUUUUGGUUUUGGUUUAUUUAUCCAUUUUGGCAAGCAAUAACAAGAUCCUUCCUACUGCUUCUCCUGCUCUGGUAAAAAACCAUAGGCCCACCCCAAUGCAUGCUGGUCCUAUACCAGUCUCUUUAUUUAUAAAAAACAAAAUGGCCCUACAGCUCUUACUGACUAAUUUAACAAAAUAACAACAAACAAAACAAAUCAUUUAAAACAAAAUAUUAACCAACAAAUAAACCCCAAAAUAUAAGUAAACUAACAACAAACUUUAACUAAUUUCAAAAAUAAGAACAAAAACAAAAAUAAAGAACAAAUAGCUCCAACACCCGCCAUAUAACAAACUUAUAAAAAACAUACCUUAGAAAUAACAGGAGGGACAGAAUACUCCCUGCCUGACGUCUGCAGGACGUCACACCCACUAAAGCUGAAUCCCACUAUUACAAAGGAUAUUAAGGGUCUUUCAGACUUAGCUCUUAGGUACCAACAAGACGACUUCACUGAUGGGUCUCAGGUACACUCUACAUUCGCCACUGCGGAUGAUCUUGACUUCGAUCUUCCUUACUCUGCCAUCUUGACUGGGGAAGGUCUUUGUGACUAGCCCUAGUGGCCAGUCAAUCCUGUUUUCUUGUCCCUCUUUGAGCAGGACCACAUCUCCAAUUCGUAGAUUGGGCUUUGAUCCCCUCCACUUGCGACGACCCUGUAGUCCGCUGAGGUACUCUCUCCUCCAUCGUCCCCAGAAGACGUUGGCUAGGUACUGUACACGUCUCCAUUG